CCCUACGGGUGGCUGCAGUGGGGAAUUUUGGACAAUGGGCGCAAGCCUGAUCCAGCCAUGCCGCGUGCAGGAUGAAGGCCUUCGGGUUGUAAACUGCUUUUGUACGGAACGAAAAGACUCUGGUUAAUACCUGGGGUCCAUGACGGUACCGUAAGAAUAAGCACCGGCUAACUACGUGCCAGCAGCCGCGGUAAUACGUAGGGUGCGAGCGUUAAUCGGAAUUACUGGGCGUAAAGCGUGCGCAGGCGGUUAUGUAAGACAGAUGUGAAAUCCCCGGGCUCAACCUGGGAACUGCAUUUGUGACUGCAUAGCUAGAGUACGGCAGAGGGGGAUGGAAUUCCGCGUGUAGCAGUGAAAUGCGUAGAUAUGCGGAGGAACACCGAUGGCGAAGGCAAUCCCCUGGGCCUGUACUGACGCUCAUGCACGAAAGCGUGGGGAGCAAACAGGAUUAGAUACCCCUGUAGUC
rnacentral:rRNA from 1 species